UUAACUCAUAUUUGAAUGGAGUUGAAACGUUUGCGUACGUUUGCCGCUAGGGGCGCUGUUCCAACUGCAUACAAAAUUGGCUUA
rnacentral:pre_miRNA from 1 species